rnacentral:lncRNA from 1 species
AAAAAAUGGGGCUGAGCGAAGAACUAGAGGCGGCGAAGCAAAGGGGUCCGAAUCGAAGGCUGAAAUCCUUGUAUUUCAACAACUUUCCGGCGACGUUCACGGCGCAAUGGCGAGAACAAGAUCUAAUCAACAGGGUUAGAUUUAAUAUGCAAAAUUCUAUGAAAUUUCAUUUUUAUUUGUUGGCCGUGUUCUUAUUUUACAUCAGAGUGGAUGUUUUUUCACCUAUAUUAAUCUUGGCAUAACUAAUUAAAAUUUGGGGGGGGGUGAUAUUAUGUGUAAUAUUGUAGAAAAAUAUCGAUUCAUGAAUUUCCUCUUAAUUAUUCGCACAUAGGAUUUUAGAAUUUCAUUUGAAUAAAUGUGUAAUUGAUGUGUGAAUAACCAUUUAUGCUAUGUUGGGUUAUGAAUUGGGACUAGUGUUGUUGUAAGCUUUAUUGAAUGUAAUGGCUGUGAAGCAGAACACGGGAUCUGGACACCGCAGCCAAAUACGAGAUCUGGACAUUCGGGGCUAGCCACGGGUUAUGAGGUGUGUUACUUAAUUUUUUUUUGUUUUUUUUUAUUUCAAUUUUUAAUUGGUCUUUAUGUGAUAUUACUACGCUUAAUUUUCUAAUGAUUCGAUGGCAACAAUGAAUAUAUAGGUUCAGGAGCCGCAAAUUCUAGCACCAACAGCGAAUGUUGGGGUUGAGGGAGAUGUUAUGGUUGACGUAAGUGUUUAAUUACUAAUUUAGUUAAAUGUUGUUUUGAUGCGUUAAAAUUAUGCAUACAUUCGUGACUUAUAUCCUAUUUAAGGAGGAUUAUGAUUUAAAUAUGAAUAUUGGCAUCAUAGUUAGAAUUCAAUUGGGUAUAUUAAUAUGCGAAUUAUGCAUGGUGGUGUACGAAUUAUGAUGCAUGAGGUGUGAAUAUAGUAAAAUGGCUUUUAUCUGUUGGCUUGUCUACAUUUGUGAAAUAAAGUAGGUUUAGAUGUGAAUUAUUUUGAUGUAGUAUGCGAAUUAUCAGGACUAGUGUGUGAAUCGAUUGACAUGGCUUUAUUCCAUAUACUUGUGUGUUUAUAUGAAAUAUGGUAGAUUACGUGUGAAUUUUUAUGAUUAAUGUGCGAAUUGUCAUGAGUAGCGUGCGAAUUAGGUUACAUGGCCUAAUUCCAUAUACUUGUGUAUGUAGUUGUAACUGAUCUCUCAGUUGCGAAUUAUGAUGAUUUAUGUGCGAAUUACGAUGAAUGAAGUGUGAAUCGAGUGAUGGGUGAUAAAUUAUUUAUUUGAGUCAUGGUGUGUUGUGAAAAAUCAGUUAAUAUAAUUAUUGGUACAUUUCACAUGUAUCAUCAUUAUUCGCAUGAUUAGUGAUAAAAUUCACAUCUUUAUUAGUCCCAACAUGCGAAUUAUGAUGAAUGAAGUGCGACUCGAGUGAGGGUGAUAAAUUAUAUAUUUGAGUCAUGGUGUGUUGUGAAAAACCAGUUCAAAUAAUUAUUUAUACAUCAUUAGAUUAUGCACACGAGUUUUUUUUACUUGAGGAAUUAAUUAUAUUUUCUAAUCAUGUGCAAAUCGGGUGCACCGCAUAGGAACUGUAGCUGAAGAACUACAUAACAUGCCUCGUGUCAGUACAAACAUUGCAAGGCGUGGAAAGGAAAAUUUGGGAAUUACAGUAUAUGGGAUAAGUACAGUAUUCACAACGCAAUGGAGACAAGUGCAAAGCUUAGUUUUGA